rnacentral:rRNA from 1 species
AAGAGCGCAGCCAACCGUGUGAAUUAAUGCGAACUGCAUACUGCUUUGAACAUCGACAUCUUGAACGCAUAUUGCGGCCACGGGUUAGCCUGUGGCCACGCCUGUCCGAGGGUC